rnacentral:rRNA from 1 species
UACAGAGGGUGCGAGCGUUGUUCGGAAUUAUUGGGCGUAAAGGGCGCGUAGGCGGUGCGGUAAGUCACCUGUGAAAUCUCCUGGCUCAACUGGAGCUUGCAGGCGAAACUGCCGUGCUGGAGUGUGGGAGAGGUGCGUGGAAUUCCUGGUGUAGCGGUGAAAUGCGUAGAUAUCAGGAGGAACACCUGUGGCGAAAGCGGCGCACUGGACCACAACUGACGCUGAGGCGCGAAAGCUAGGGGAGCAAACAGG